rnacentral:rRNA from 1 species
AUUGCACUCUGGCGGCAGGCCUAACACAUGCAAGUCGUGCGGAGCGGCGGACGGGUGAGUAAUGCCUAGGAAUCUGCCUGGUAGUGGGGGAUAACGUCCGGAAACGGGCGAUAAUACCGCAUACUAUCAGAUGAGCCUAGGUAGGAUUAGCUAGUUGGUGGUGUAAAGGCCUACCACGGCGACGAUCCGUAACUGGUCUGAGAGGAUGAUCAGUCACACUGGAACAUGGACACGGUCCAGACUCCUACGGGAGGCAGCAGUUGGGAAUAGUGGACAAUGGGCGAAAGCCUGAUCCAGCCAUGCCGCGUGUGUGAAGAAGGUCUACGGAUUGUAAAGCACUUUAAGUUGGGAGGCGUUACCAGCAGAAUAAGCACCGGCUAACUUCGUGAGAGCAGCCGCGGUAAUAC